GAUGAACGCUGGCGGCGUGCUUAACACAUGCAAGUCGAACGGAAAGGCUCCUGCUUGCCGGGGUACUCGAGUGGCGAACGGGUGAGUAACACGUGGGUGAUCUGCCCUGCACUUCGGGAUAAGCCUGGGAAACUGGGUCUAAUACCGGAUAGGACCACAUUUUGGAUGGUGUGGUGGAAAGUUUUUCGGUGUGGGAUGAGCUCGCGGCCUAUCAGCUUGUUGGUGGGGUAAUGGCCUACCAAGGCGUCGACGGGUAGCCGGCCUGAGAGGGUGUACGGCCACAGUGGGACUGAGAUACGGCCCAGACUCCUACGGGAGGCAGCAGUGGGGAAUAUUGCACAAUGGGCGCAAGCCUGAUGCAGCGACGCCGCGUGGGGGAUGACGGCCUUCGGGUUGUAAACUCCUUUCGCUAGGGACGAAGCGUUUUUGUGACGGUACCUGGAGAAGAAGCACCGGCUAACUACGUG
rnacentral:rRNA from 1 species